rnacentral:misc_RNA from 1 species
GAUGAAGAACGUAGCGAAAUGCGAUAAGUAAUGUGAAUUGCAGAAUUCAGUGAAUCAUCGAAUCUUUGAACGCACAUUGCGCCCGCCAGUAUUCUGGCGGGCAUGCCUGUUCGAGCGUCAUUUCAACCAUCAAGCCCCAGGCUUGUGUUGGAGCCCUGCGGCUGCCGCAGCCUCCCAAAACCAGUGGCGGGCUCGCUAUCACACCGAGUGCAGUAGUUUACUCUUCGCUCAGGGCGUGUGGCGGGUGCUAGCCGUAAAACCCCCAACUUCUCAAGGUUGACCUCGGAUCAGGUAGGAAUACCCGCUGAACUUAAGCAUAUCAAUAACCGGAGGA